rnacentral:rRNA from 1 species
UCGACCUCAGAUCAGGUGGGACUCCCCGCCGAAUUUAAGCAUAUUAGUAAGCGGAGGAAAAGAAACUAACAAGGAUUCCCUUAGUAGCUGCGAGCGAACAGGGAGGAGCCCAGCACUGAAUCCCGAGGGCCUCGCCUUCAGGGAGAUGUAGUGUUUAGGAGUGCCCGAUCGACCCGGGGUCCGUGCACCGCGUUCAAGUCCAUCUUGAACGGGGCCACGGUCCGCAGAGGGUGCCAGGCCCGUAGAUGACCGGUGCCGGCCCCGGGUGGGUCCCUCCUUAGAGUCGGGCUGCUUGAGAGUGCAGCCCUAAGCGGGUGGUAAACUCCAUCUAAGGCUAAAUACAACCACGAGACCGAUAGAGAACAAGUACCGUGAGGGAAAGUUGAAAAGAACUUUGAAGAGAGAGUUCAAGAGUACGUGAAACCGCUCAGGGGUAAACGGAAAAGACCCGAAGCCCCGAAACGGGAGAUUCACGUCUUCUCGCCGGGUCCGCUCCCCGAUCGGGGGGAUGGCCAUUCGCCCCGUCCGGCUCGUCCGCGGCGGUGGGUUGGCCGCCCCCCACGGGGUCCCGUUCCCGCGGGGGACCGCACUUCUCCCUUAGUAGGACGUCGCGACCCGCUCUGCGGCGGUCAAAGGUCCGGAAGAAGGCCUGGCGCGGCGCUCCUCGCGGGCGCUACGUCAGAUCUCCGGCACCGCGGCCGCCGGUCCGGGCGGUAUCGAAAGACUACGGCGCUGGGCCGCUCCACUAGCGAGCGCCGCCGUCUCCCCGCAAGACCGGGCGUUCGCCAGGGGGUGCCUCGACGGGCACGCCCUCGGCCGAGCGCUCGGGCCCCUGGCGGGUGAGCACUCCGGCACGGCCCAGUCCGCCAGUCGGCGGCGCUUCAGAUUCGGGAACUUAUCCGACCCGUCUUGAAACACGGACCAAGGAGUCUAGCGUGUGCGCGAGUCAUUGGGUGAAAAACCUAAAGGCGCAAUGAAAGUGUCAGAGGGGGCCUCCUACGGGAGAGCCCUCCGUUGGGAGGAUGGGCCGCCCGGCGUUAACUCGCCGGCGCCCCGCACUCCCGGGGCGUCUCGUUCUCAUAGCGAGUGGAGACGCACCAGGAGCGCACACGCUGGUACCCGAAAGAUGGUGAACUAUGCCUGGCCAGGACGAAGCCAGGGGAAACCCUGGUGGAGGUCCGAAGCGAUUCUGACGUGCAAAUCGAUCGUCUGAGCUGGGUAUAGGGGCGAAAGACCAAUCGAACCAUCUAGUAGCUGGUUCCCUCUGAAGUUUCCCUCAGGAUAGCUGGCUCUCAGGCUGAGACGAGUCUCAUCCGGUAGAGCGAAUGAUUAGAGGUGAUGGGGUCGAAACGACUUCAACCUAUUCUCAAACUCCCAAUAGAUGAGAGCCCCGGCUUGCUUGAAAGUGAAGCCGCGGGAUUCGGAUCAGAGAUGCCAAGUGGGCCAAUUUUGGUAAGCAGAACUGGCGCUGUGGGAUGAACCAAACGCAGAGUUAAGGCGCCUGAUUCGACGCUCAUAUGAAACCAUGAAAGGCGUUGGUUGCUUAAGACAGCAGGACGGUGGCCAUGGAAGUCGGAAUCCGCUAAGGAGUGUGUAACAACUCACCUGCCGAAGCAACUAGCCCUGAAAAUGGAUGGCGCUGUAGCGUCGUGCCUAUACUCUGCCGUCGACGGCAAAGCGGGCCGCCCCGUCCUCGGGGCGUCGCCGUUACGCCUCGACGAGUAAGAGGGUCGCGGCGGUGUGCGCGGAAGGGUCUGGGCGCGAGCCCGCCUGGAGCCGCCGCCGGUGCAGAUCUUGGUGGUAGUAGCAAAUACUCCAGCGAGGCCCUGGAGGACUGAUGUGGAGAAGGGUUUCUUGUGAACAGCUGUUGCACAAGAGUCAGUCGAUCCUAAGCCCUAGGAGAAAUCCGAAGGGAACGGUUGCCGUUAAACACUCGAUCGCUCGGCUCUCCUCCCUCCGUCUCCCCCUCUCCGUGGCGUCCGCCUCUCCUCGCACAAUGGCGUGCGAGCGAGGCGGGUACGGCACGCGGGGGGUCGGCAGGCGUGCGAGAGCCGUCGCAUGGACGGGCUGGCACCGUUCGGGCGAAAGGGAAUCCGGUUCCUAUUCCGGAACCCGGCAGCGGAACCGCUCCAAUUCGGGCCCUCAUCCGAGGACUCGUCGGGGUGACCCGAAAUGACCCGGAGAAGCCGUAGGGAGGUCCGGGGAGAGUUGUCUCUUCUCUAUAAGCGUUCGAGUUCCCUGGAAGCCUCUAGGAGGGAGAUAGGGUUUGGAACGCGAAGAGCACCGCACUUACGGCGGUGUCCGGAUCUUCCCCUCGGACCUUGAAAAUCCGGGCGAGGGCCACGGGGAACACCGCGCCGGCUCGUACCCAUAUCCGCAGCAGGUCUCCAAGGUGAAUAGCCUCUAGUCGAUAGAAUAAUGUAGGUAAGGGAAGUCGGCAAACCCGAUCUGUAACUUCGGGAUAAGGAUUGGCUCUGAGGAUCGUGGCGCGCCGGGCUUG